UGCACUUGACGGCAAAGAUGACUUGUUUUCAGAUUGUGCUUCCGUUACAUCGACACCAAAAAGAUCACUGAUGCU
rnacentral:snoRNA from 1 species